rnacentral:rRNA from 1 species
AGCGAACGUUUGCGGCGGGCCUAACACAUGCAAGUCGAACGCACUAGCAAUAGUGAGUGGCGCACGGGUGCGUAACACGUGGGUAAUCAACCCUUCAGCCUGGGAUAACGACUCGAAAGGGUCGCUAAUACCGGAUACGGCGCGAGAGGCUUCGGCUUCUCACGAGAAAGCCACGCAAGGGGCACUGAAGGACGAGCCUGCGGCCCAUCAGCUAGUUGGUGAGGUAAGAGCUCACCAAGGCUAAGACGGGUAGCUGGUCUGAGAGGAUGAUCAGCCACACUGGAACUGAGACACGGUCCAGACUCCUACGGGAGGCAGCAGUGGGGAAUAUUGCGCAAAUGGGCGAAAGCCUGACGCAGCCACGCCGCGUGAGCGAUGAAGGCCUGGUCGUAAAGCUCUGUGGGAGAGACGAAGAAAGCCCGUGAAGAGCGGGCCGUUGACGGUAUCUCCUUAGC